rnacentral:sRNA from 1 species
ACGCGCGGAUCCUCCGAGACUGUCGCAUAGUCUCCUUCCGCGAGGAUCUCCCCGCGCUGCAGGACCGUGACGUGGUGGCAGAGCGUCGCGACGACCGAGAGAUUGU